rnacentral:rRNA from 1 species
UACGUAGGGUGCAAGCGUUGUCCGGAAUUAUUGGGCGUAAAGAGCUCGUAGGCGGUGUGUCACGUCGUUCGUGAAAACCUGCAGCUUAACUGUGGGCGUGCGGUCGAUACGGGCAUCACUGGAGUUCGGCAGGGGAGACUGGAAUUCCUGGUGUAGCGGUGAAAUGCGCAGAUAUCAGGAGGAACACCGGUGGCGAAGGCGGGUCUCUGGACAGUUCCUGACGCUGAGGAGCGAAAGCGUGGGGAGCGAACAGG